rnacentral:lncRNA from 1 species
CUAAAGAAGGCUUUUCCAGCCACCAAGAUCGUUGGAACUGUCACUCGUAACUGUGUUUUGGUUAACAACGGGUGUAGUAACUCUUCUAUUUGCAGGCUGUACACUGGGAGUUCUUGCCUCAGAUGGUAUCAAUGGUGGGUACAAGCUGGCUGAGGAGGAAGGAGUUACACUAUUGAAGUUUGAUAAACCACUUGUUGGAGUGGCAUAGUGGAAAGAAGAUUUAGCGGUUACGGCGGGUGUAGAAGCACGUUGAGAAUAACUUCGAUAUGAAGAUGCACUCGAAGUUUCGCGGGCAACACCCUGGCUGGACAAGCUUGCUUGAGAAGUAAAGAUGUUAGUGGUAGCCUUAUUAGGUGAUAUAGAGGACGGCUUGGAAGUUGCUUCCUUAGUCUGCGAUGAAAAUGGAUCGGUAGUGAUUCGAUUGGGGACUACAGAAGAAGGCUUGGAUUGUAAUUUUUUAGCAUGAGAUUUUUGAACAGCGUCACUCAAACUUCGAAUUUCUCUCAUACAUUUAUUAUACUGUUCGAGAGACAGACUUGGUGAAACACUUAAAAUCCAUAAUCUGGGAAUCACUUGUUCAUGUACUGUCUCUUCGGGAAUUAUGGCACCGGCAGAAAUAUAAACCGUAACCAUUCCCAUUACAACAGUUGGUUCUCGAGUUUUCACCUUCUCUAAAACAGGUAAUAACUUGUCAACAAUCGCAAAAGAAUCUAAAAAUUUUUGAUUGAUGAAAACGUUAAACGUGUCUAAGAUGGCGACCUUUACAUCUAACUGAUUCGUAACGGAGAAAGAAUGAUAAAGUUUAGGACAAAUAGAAGACUUUACAGUCGUGACAUCGAUGAUAUCAAGGAGAGUACCAAGUAUUUGGAUGGACGUUGUUUGCACAUUCAAUGAUGAAUUUUCGAAACAACCAUAUAUGAACGGAACAAUUUUGGACAAGAAUUCACCACUUGGUAGCUUGGAUUUUAAACAAUCCAUAUAUUGAAAUAUGCAUAAGGGAACUCUUUCAGGAUAUGAAUUAGCAGCCGAUAUAAUAGGAAAAAUUGCCGUAAAUACUUUCGAAGAAAAAAUUGAAGAAUCUAAACCCUUAGAGAUUUCAAAGAUACAAGGCAACAAUGAAGGCACCAGCUUUUGGUCGUUUAAAUGGUCCAACAAAGUAGGCAAGAUUUUUUGAGAUUGAAUACGAUAGGGGAACGUAGUAAGAUUCUUACUCAACGAUUCCAUAAAAGAAACCUUCUCAGAUGGAAGUUUCUCAGGAAAACUCUCUAAAAACCGAAGAGCAGCUAUAGCACUUCCUGUAAAAUAGGGAGAUCUCUCUAGCUCAAACAUACUAGCCCUUUGCUUUGGAUCCACAGCUAAUGUUUCCUUUAACAAGGAUUUUAAAUUUUCAGAUGGCAAAUUUUUGCUUUCAAUGAAUGUAGGAGAGUUAAGAGAUGUGAUUUCCUUUUCAUAAGAUAAAAGAUGGUUAUUGGCGUUAAUUAUACUUUGAUUCUUAUUAAAAAUGGAGUAAAUCAAACACCCAAAUGAAAAUACAUCGCUUUCAGGACCAGCAAUUUCAUGAGUGAUAUAUUCUGGUGCCAAGAAGUCCAUGCUCUGUUGCAAGGAGGAUGGAAUUCCAAAGUCAUAAUCGUUGAAUUCAUAUCGAGCCGACUCAACCGACUGAGAAAAUGAGAAUCCGCAAAGUUUCCAAUCACCUUUAGCAUCCACUACUACUGAGCUUGGGCGAAUGUUGUAGUGAAUAACCUUCGCAGAACCAUGUAGGAAAACCAACCCAUCAAUAAUUUGUAGUAACCCUUUUUGAAUUUCAACUUCCUCCAACGCAUUCCCAGAUGAUUUACCAUUAGCAGAAGAACCGUAGUUGGAAAAUCCUCCGUUGGAAGACUUAAUGAAAUCUUGUAACAUAGAUUGAAUUCGACGAGUAACAAACGACAUACUAGAUUUCGAUUCUUCCAAAGGUUCAACCACUUGAAGCAAAGAGGGAUGCCUAAGUCGAGAAAGAGAAGACACAUCUUUUCUUAAAAGCUCUAAGACAUAGUUUGUUUUCAAAUUGGAGUCAAUAGACCCGCGUUUUAGUAAGGUGGACAAAUUCUUUUUAUCAAAUGUAAACACUGAAACCUCUUCGUUGGUUCCCUUUUUGGAUGCCGAAUAAACAGUCCAAGGACCUACUUGGACUGAAUUUUCUUUCUGGAUAUCAUAAUCAUAUUUAAUUUUUUUGGAAUUUGAUACUAAACAUUCAACGUUAGAAUACUUACUUGGGAUACGAAAUGUAUCUAAAUAGAUUAUAGAAAUGACGAUGAGGAUGAUCAAUUACAUAAACAUAACUACAAUCUUUCAUACAGCGCUGAUAAUCGAGUUUAUCAAGGAAUAUAGCAUACCUAGUCGAAGUGCAUUGGCUAACAUAAGCUGAAAAAGUGGAUGGCUUUGGAAAAAAACAACUUAAAACAACAAAAACAAAAAGAAAAAAUUAUAAUUAUUUUUGAAUCCCUUCGAAGCAAACCAAGUAUAAAAAUUGAACACCUUUUUUUCGCGGUAGUAUACAGUGGAGAUGGUAGGAAUGAAUGGCUUAUGGAUGAAAUUUUUAGGGUCAGUUCAAAAAGCAGUGAAACUCUUAUUUGGGAAACAGAGGAUUAAAUAAAAAGACAAUUAAUUAAAGAUUAUAAGAAAGUCGUAUUUUUUAGUUUGAUAAUCAUAACUUAGCCAAAAAACCUUGGGCAAUGAGUCGUUCAACGUCUGUAGCACGCACAUGCAAUUGUGAAUUUUUAGUAAGGUUAAUAGUACCAUAUUCAGUUUCAAUAUCUCCAACGUCCUUCAAAACUCGGACGUCUAUGAACAAAUUUUUAGGAGGAACCAAAGAACCAGUCAAAUCCAGCUCGGACCAAGCGCCUUUAUAAGCAGCCAAAAGUUCUGAAUAUCUCGUUAAAUAGUCACGCUCAUAAGUACUUAGAGAUGUAUCUAAACAAGAUUCCAUUCGUUUGCCUCCGCUCCAACAGUAUUGACGAAGCCGCUGCAGCCUUAAAUUAUGGUAAGCCAUUAAACAUCGCUUAUUGUAGAUACUAGAAGAAUGAAACAUCAAUAGAGCUGCCGCUUCAGAAGGAUGGUCCUGGGGCUGGAAAGGUUGACUAGCCUCAUGUGUAACAUUUUGAAGAAUUCCUAGACUUUCGCGAUCUGCUGCACGAAUUUCGUUGACAACAUCAUUAACGGUGUCCGCUUGGUAAGGUGGGAGAUAAUCUAAAUACUGAGUUCGCUUUGAGUCCCGAAUUAAUUUAUUUGAUCGAUUCCCCAAACCAUUCUCCAUAGUGAUUAGAAGCACUAACUAUCACGAUAUGCUUAAACAGAUUUUCCUAAUUAUGUUUAGUUUAAAAGAAACGGAUUAGUAUAAUUAACAACGACACUCGAUAGUUGUUUAAAGCUAUAUUGAAUGGUUGUGGAUGACAAGUCGUUGGAAAAUGACAUGUCUUUC